rnacentral:misc_RNA from 1 species
GAUAGAUAUCAAUUGGAGCAUCAAUACCCUCUUCUUCCAUCUCCCUAACCAACUCUUCAGCUCGGUCCAUAUUGCAUGUUUGGCAGUUAGCAUAUAUGAUGCUGCCAUAUAUAAUAGCAUUUAAAGUCAGAUACCUCUCUUUAGCCUCCUUAAAACAUUGCUCUGCAGCUUCUAUAUUGCCCAGUUUUGCAAAUCCAUCAACAAGGAUGCUGUGAGUCACGAGACUCAUUUCAAUUCCUUCAUCUUUCAUUCUCCUCACACAAGAUAGUGCUUCUUCCAUGUCUCUAG